AACGUACUGGGAGCCUCAAAAAUGAACGUGGCCUAGAGACCCUGGCAGACCACAGAUUCAGUACUGCAAGCAUAGGUGUGCCGCCACAGAGAAUGUGCGGAAGGGUUCACAAGCAGCGGUGAGGGUCUCCAGCCAGCGAGGCUGGGGAAUAAGAAGCCCAAGAGGAAAGGAGAUUUACUUUGGUUUCUCCUGAAGAAAGAACUAAGAGGUAAUUAUACCUUUUCAAGAGCAACUGGGAGGACUCGCGCAUGCUCAGAGCCGGUGAUGAGAUGGAAGCCCCAGGAGUCCAGCUAAAACGCUGGCCGGUGGCUCGACUUCUCUUUCCCUUCCCCCUUCAGAUCCUCCUUUACUUGAUAUUCCUUGGUGUGUUUGCUUUCUUCACGGGCUUCCUCUCUUUCAUUUUACCUUCUACCCUCGUCUCUGUUCACCAAAGCGACCAAAGCCUUCAAACCCAGGGUUAGUAUUUGACGGAAUUAAGCUUCCCAAUCAUCUGACAAGGGAUGCACAAGCAGGGAGCUGGAGAGACAGCUGCACCCUCUUCUACGAAAGGGAGUUUCUGAGCAAGCCCAGGCAAGAGCCUGGGCUUGAUGACUAUCUGUUCUUGAUGACUAUCUGUUAUUUCCUCUUGGGAACCCAAAUUAAAGUUGCUUAUUUGCCUUCUAAGCAAGGUGUGGCCAGAGGCAGCCCCAGGGCGCGUAGGUUGUCAGAAAAGAGCCGGUUCAGGGAAAUCUCCCAUCUGGAAUGAAACCAAAGGAGAUGGAACUGCCGUGGACAGAAGGCAAAGUCUGAGAAGAGGCAGGCACGACAAUCCAGAACAAACCAGAUGCAGUGCUUCCACCGGAGGGUAAGCAGUUUCCCGACUGGUUUGACAGAAGCAGCUGCAGAAAACCAGUUCCUCCUGCUUCAGGAGGCAAGAAUCUUCUGGGCGCUGGUGACCCUCUCAGGGCUCCCCAACUUGCUGCGGGAGAAAUUUCCAUCUGCAGUUGCUCAUCCACGAAGAGUGAGGGAAGAGUCUGAACUCUGAAAACGUCACUGGGCUGCUGUGAAAGAAAUUAAGCCCUUUCCACCAUAAGAGAGCCAAACUGUGUUUUCUAGAGGCUGUGGAAAAUUAUUGUUUUCAUUAAAUGCAAAUCACGGCCCCCAAACCAACAAUGUUCUUAGGGAUGAAACUAGCAUUGGCUUCACUGACUCUAAGAGCCUCCAUUAGCCAGCUCUCUAAUGGCACUCUGCUGUGGAAGUUUCUAGCAAAUGAGUGCAAAAUGACUCACUCUUUGCCCUCAUCCUCAGUACCAUCCCCACCCCCCCUUCCACCACCAGUUUUAUCAGUUAUUAGUUGGAAUGGGGGGAAGGAGGGUGUACCAUUUAAGAGGCUUCUGCUUAGCCUAGGAGAUGCUCCAGGGGACAGCAAUUAAGUGCUUUAAGGGGGUGUUAGGCACAGUAGGUGGGAUUCUCCCAGGCGUCCCUCCCGCAGUACAGAGCCAGAGAAGCUGACAAUAGCUGAAGAGAGGGAGGGGCCCCCGACACACACAACCUCUCCCUUUCCCAGCAACAGCUACUUAAUAAGCAGCACUUAGCAUGUGUACAAGGUCAGAAAGGAGGUGAGGAAUGGAAAAAAUAUUUUGGCAUAAAUACGCCCAGAAAAGUUCUCUUAUAGAAGAACAUUUCUGACCUAUGACAGAGUUGAAAAUUUCAAAAAAAAAAAAUAUUUUUUUAUUUGAGAUAGAUUGGAAAAUUCUCUUCUCUCCCCAGAAACAAAUCUUUACUUGUAGUGGUAUCUGAAAUGUCACCAUUAGUAACUCAUUCCUUUGUGUAUUAUAGGCUCCCAGCAUUUAAGAGGCUUCUAUCAAAAGACAGAUUUGUUUUUGGCUACGCCCACAGCACGUGGAAGUUCCCGGGCCAGGGAUCGAACCCGCACCACAGCAGAGACCUUAUCUGCAGCAGUAACAACGCCAGAUCCUUAACGCCAUGAGCCACAGCAGAACUCCCAAAAUGCAGAUACUUUACAUGAGACCAGCCAGUGAUUCUCACUGGAAGCAGAAUCCUUGAGCUGAUUUUUACGUGCAAAUUCCUUGCGUGCGCGUGCGUCUGCGCACACACACAUAUGCUCCAUCCUUCCAACCCCUACUGUGACCAUGACCUUUAGCCAAUAGGUGGUUCUUCAAUUCUCUGGUGUCUUAGUCAUCUCAGGCUAUAACAAUAUACCAGACCGGGUGACUUAAGAGGCAUUUCUUUCUCAUAGUUCUGAAGGGUGGCCGUCCAGGAUCCAGGUGCCAACUGUUUCGGUGUCUGAUGAGAACGCUUCUUGGCUCGUAGAUGACCAAUGUUUACUGUGUCCUCAUACAGCUUUUUGUUUGUUCACACAGAGAGAGCAAGAUCUGUCUUCCUCUCCUUAUAAAGACUCAUUUCCAUGACCUCACUUAAAUUUAAUCAUCUCCCAAAGGCUCCACCUCCAAGUAACAUCAUAUUGGGAGUGAGAUCUAUAACAUAUGAAAGUGGUGGUGGUGGGGGGACACAGACAUUCCGCAUAUAACAGCUGGCUUCUGAUAGGACCUUGGGGUGUUUAACUCGAGUUCCUCCUUUUGCAGGUUAGAAAAUCAUCUCCAUCAUGGAUGAUGAUUUGGUGGCCCCGGUCAGAAGCGAUCUUCUAUAAUUAAGGGUGAAAGCAAUGGAAAACUAGGAAUAGUUGUUUCUAAAAUGUGGACACUUCAAAGGGGAGUUUAUCCAGAGACAACACGGUCACUUUCCUGCCCUGAAUCCACGGCCUCUCCCAUAUCCUGUUUUUUUUCUCCCUAUGUUCUCUUCUGGUUCAUUCCUCUUCUUUUCCUCCUCAAGGGGCAAACAUAUUAGCAAUGCAAUUUGUGUUUGUGUUGUAUAUACUCACUUAAUGAUUCUGUACUUCCUUAAGGACCCGACUAGUAUCCAUGAGGGAUGCAGAUGUGAUCCCUGGCCUCCCUCAGGGGGUUAAGGAUCCAGCAUUGCCACAAGCUGCAGUACAGGUCAUAAGCGUGGCUUGGAUCUGGCAUUACUGUGGCUGUGGUGUAGGCUGGCAGCUGCAGCUCUGAUUGAACCCCUGGUCUGGGAACUUUCAUAUGCUGCAGGUGCAGCCCUAAUAAAAAAAGACAAAAAAA
rnacentral:lncRNA from 1 species